rnacentral:rRNA from 1 species
UCGAGCGGUUGACGGAAGCUUGUGCUGCUUUGCUGACCGUGGGGGACGGGUGGCUAAUGUCUGGGAAACUGCCUGAUGGAGGGGGAUAACUACGGAAAACGGUAACUAAUACCGUCUAACGUCACAAGACCAGGGAGGUUCACCUUCGGGCCUCUUGCCUUCGGAUGUGCCCAGAUGGGAUUAGCUAGGGGGUGGGGUAACGGCUCGCCUAGGCCACGAUCCGUACCUGGUCUGAGAGGAUGACCACCGACACUGAAACUGAGACACGACCCCUACUCCUACGGGAGGUGGCAGUGGUGAAUAUUGGACAAUGGGCCUGAUCCUGAUGCGCCCAUGCCGCGUGUAUGAACAACGCCUUCGGGUUGAAUUUAACUUUCAGCGGGGAGGAAGGCGAUAAGGUUAAUAACCUUUGACAUUGACGUUACCCGCAGAACAAGCACCGGCUAACUCCGUGCCCGCGCCGCGGUAAUACGUGAGGGUGCAAGCGUUAAUUUACAAUUACUGGGCGUAAAGCGCACGCAUUCGUUCUGUCAAAUCGGAUGUGAAAUCCCCGGGCUCAACCUGUGAACUGCAUUCUGGACUGCUAGGCUAGAGUCUUGUAUAGGGGAAUUUAAUUCCAGGUGUAGAGAUGAAAUGAUUAAAGAUCUAAAGGAAUACCGGAGGCGAAGGCGGCCCCCUGAACAAGAACUGACGCUCAGGUGCCAAGGCGAGCAAAGCAAACAAGAUAACAUGCCCUGCCACUCCACACCGUAUACCAUGUCGACUUGGAAGUUGUGCCCAUGAGGCGGGCGUUCCUGAGCUAACGCGUUGACCCCACGGCCUGUACGGUACCGCCGCAAGGUCAAAACUCAAAUGACUUGACCCCGCCCCGCACAAGCAGCGUAUCAUGUAAUUCAAUUCGAUGCAACGAGAAUUACCAUACCUACUCUUGAAUCCACAUACUGACCUGAGAUGCUUCGUGCCUACUCAGCUCUGAGACCUGCGCUGCAUGCCUCUCGUCGGUCGUGAUGUGAAUGUUGAGUCAGUCCGC